rnacentral:rRNA from 1 species
GAUGAACGCUGGCGGCGUGCCUAAUACAUGCAAGUAGAACGCUGAAGGAGGAGCUUGCUCUUCUGGAUGAGUUGCGAACGGGUGAGUAACGCGUAGGUAACCUGCCUGGUAGCGGGGGAUAACUAUUGGAAACGAUAGCUAAUACCGCAUGACAACAGUUAUUGCAUGAUAACUGUUUAAAAGGGGCAACUGCUCCACUACCAGAUGGACAUGCGUUGUAUUAGCUAGUUGGUGAGGUAACGGCUCACCAAGGCGACGAUACAUAGCCGACCUGAGAGGGUGAUCGGCCACACUGGGACGGUGACACGGCCCAGAGUCCUACGGAAGGCAGCAGUAGGGAAUCUUCGGCAAUGGACGGAAGUCUGACCGAGCAACGCGGCGGGAGUGAAGAAGGAUGUCGGAUCGGAAAGCUCGGUUGUAGGAGAAGAACGAGUGUGAGAGUGGAAAGUUCACACUGUGACGGUAUCUGACCAGAAAGCGACGGCUAACUACGUG